AAAAAAAAAAAAAAAAAAAGCCGCACCCCCCACAACAAAAAUGCCGACACCUCUGCCUAACCAAUUGUCAAAACCGAAACACUCCCAAAGAUAUAUUACAAACACAUAGAUUUUGGAGUUUCAAUGGAGGCAAUUAGCUUAUGUAGCUUCGAAAUUCUGGAGAAUUGAAGCUCGUUUCUAUUCGAGGUUGCAAUUCCAGUUCGAAAUCAUGGUCCAUAGCUCGCUCGAGGAUUGCUUUUUCUUUGGAGAUUAUUUUGCACUGUACCCGUUGAAAAAUUUUCAGUAACAAAGGUCCAUCUUCCCCAUUGCAACUUCAUUAAUUUUGAAUGUAAUCUUAUUGCUUCUAUUCUUCUGAAGUUGUUUGUUGCUUUAAUUCCCUUGAGAUAUAUGAAUAUAGAAUCGUUGUUUUGAUUCCUUUAAGCUAAGUAUUAAUCGUGCUAUGAUGGGUGUUUUGUUGGUAAA